ACGAAUCCGCGGCGGGAUACUUGUCAAAAACCUGGUUAACACGUUCGCCUCGGCUCGGCGCGACGGCCGCGGUGGUCGGUGGUUGCAUAUAAUUCCGAAUAUCAUCAAACACGGCGCGCAGCAACGGUGUCCGAUAAUGGCGUGGGUGAGGAAGGAGGAGGAAAUAUCAUACGCUACGCCGUCUAUGUACCACUUCAGUGCACACACGCCACGCGGGCAUACUCGUCUGUCAACAAAAUAUUUUUAUUAGGUAUUAGGAUUUAACAAUAAAGCAAUGUGAACUAAAUAACAUAAAUAUAAAUUGUUAUAAUUAAAUGAGAAAGGACAAUAUUGAC